rnacentral:tRNA from 1 species
ACCUGGCUGGCUCAGUUGGUAGAGCAUGUGAUGCUUGAUCUCAGGGUCGUGAGUUCAAGCCCCAUGUUGGGCA